CGUUAUUUUUAAUUCUUAUACAUUUAUUUUGUAUAUUUUACUGCAGUAUUGACUAGUGCUUACUAACGUUAUCGGUCCAUAGUGAAAAUUCUUUGUUUUUAAGUGACCAUGUCUUUACGCUUUUCUAAGAAGUCACAAACUAGUGACCCAAACAAAUACAUUCUAAACUAUGAAGAUAUCACGUAGUGCACACCGAGUCUUCACUAACGAGGGAUGCCUACUGAAGACAAUGGCCACUCGUAGCAACGAGGCCGUCGCUUCGAUCGUCAGAAAGAAAAAAAGUCUGGUCUAUAUUACUUCAAGAAAGUUAAGUGAUAUAAACCUCGACGUGGCCAACAUACAUCAAGAGUAGAUACAUCAUUAUUAGUGCGAAAGGCGGAGAUCGGUCACCAUAUUGCCAUAUGAGAUCACCCUGUAUAUCAUGGAGACGUCAUGCCACUACAGAGCACCACCGCCUUCGCCGGACGCCCUACAAAAACGAUCCGCGAAAGGGGAGCCGCGGCAAAAAUGACGCUCCCAAAUAAAAUAAAUACUCGACCGUUUUACUCGCACAUCCCCCACCCCCCUCGGCUCACAUAAAACAGGGCCACGGAGGGGAGGAAGUGAGGUCGGGAGAGGUCUACGUGCGUGGGCGAGUUAUAACUGUCUUCUCCAGUAAGGAUUCUGCGAAAGCUAUAUAGAUUGCGCUCCUUCAAGAUUUGCGGGAAAAUAGUUAUUUGCUAUACAAGGGGGCAAAGUUGUAUUUUAACGCCGAGUGUGGAAUUGAAAAACGAGCAAGG